rnacentral:lncRNA from 1 species
GCUUUUGAUUCACGCAAAAUCAACUUCAGGAUGUGAAACAGAGAGAUGAUUGUUGACAUGUUCAUAUCCACACAGGUUCUAUAUAAUGAGUGUCCAUAGAUGGCUAGAUCAUGAAUGAAACACUAAAGAUAUAAACUUUACUUCAAUAUGAAGAUCACUCUACUACACUAUGAUCUGCAAAGGAUUGAACAAAUCAAAACUUAUAUUCCGCAAUAUCUAGAGACUAGAGUCACACUAUGCACAAUUCCACUAAACGAAAUGAUAAUUGAUUCAACUUACAUAUUUCUUGCGACCAUAGCUCCCUUCCUCAUCAUCACCAGAACCAGAACGGUUCCUGCGCUGCUCAUUAUCAUCAUCAUCAUCGUCAUUGCGACGACCAUAGCUAGGCUUCCUGUAACUCCCCUCUUCCUGUUCCUCAGACCUUCCAUAGCUAGGCUUCCUGUAACUCCCUUCCUCCUGAUCCUCAGAUCUUCCAUAGCUAGGCUUAAUGUAACUCUCCACCUGUUCCUCAGACCCUCCAUAACUUGGUUUCCUGUAACUACCUUCCUCCUGAUCCUCAGAUCUCCCAUAGCUAGGCUUCCUGUAACCUUCCUCUUGAUCCUCAGAUCUCCCAUAGCUAGGCUUCCUGUAACCUUCCUCUUGUUCCUCAGAUCUUCCAUAGCUAGGCUUCCUGUAGCCUUCCUCUUGAUCCUCAGAUCUUCCAUAGCUAGGCUUCCUGUAACUUCCUUCUUCCUGAUCCUCAGAUCUUCCAUAGCUAGGUUUCUUGUAACCUUCCUCUUGUUCCUCAGACCUUCCAUAGCUAGGCUUCCUGUAACCUUCUUCUUGUUCCUCAGACCUACCAUAGCUAGGCUUACGCUCAUACUCAGACUCUGAUCUGCCACCAUAUCCAGAUCCAAGACCCGAUUCAGGUCUCCUCCCAUACUCAACCUCAGUUCUUCCACCACCAGAUCCAUACUCCGAUUGAUUCUCCGUUCUACCACCAUAACUCUGCUCAGGUCUCCGACCAUACUCCGUCUCAGUUUCACCACCAUAUCCAGAUUCAGGCCUCCUACCAUACUCACUCUCCGUCUGACCACCAUAACCAGAUCCAGAUCCAUAACCAGGAUUCGGCCUCUCACCUUGAACAUGACCGCCACCACCUGAAUCGGGUCGAAAUGCGG